CCUANGGGUGGCAGCAGUCGAGAAUUUUUCUCAAUGGGGGCAACCCUGAAGGAGCGACGCCGCGUGGAGGAUGAAGGUCUUCGGAUUGUAAACUCCUGUCAUUAGGGAACAAUUGCCGGCAAGUAACUACUGCCGGCUUGAUAGUACCUGAAGAGGAAGAGACGGCUAACUCUGUGCCAGCAGCCGCGGUAAUACAGAGGUCUCAAGCGUUGUUCGGAUUCAUUGGGCGUAAAGGGUGCGUAGGCGGCGCCGUAAGUCUGGUGUGAAAUCCCGGAGCUCAACUCCGGAAUUGCACUGGAUACUGCGGUGCUCGAGGACUGGAGAGGAGACUGGAAUUCACGGUGUAGCAGUGAAAUGCGUAGAUAUCGUGAGGAAGACCAGUGGCGAAGGCGGGUCUCUGGACAGUUCCUGACGCUGAGGCACGAAGGCCAGGGGAGCAAACGGGAUUAGAUACCCCUNUANUC
rnacentral:rRNA from 1 species